UUCUGAAUGUUCUGGCUGUCAGCUUCCUCCAGGGUUUUCCCUGAACCAAACCAGAAUCAAAGAGAAGGAUUUCUGCACUCUAAAUUAUAACUAUUCCUCAGUUGGUGUCUAUGGGUUAGAGCUGGUUGUGGAAGAUUUCCCCCAACAAAACAUCGUUCUCUUCUACAAAAAUGUCUCUCCCUCUAUCAGGAGACCAUUUAAUCAAACUGGCAUCAACACACUUCCACUUAGCCAACUUCCUCUGCACUUUGCUGUCAAAGUUGACCCCGCUGUGGAAUCUUGUGAUGAAGGAGUAUACUUGCCAAAGUUCCUUCACCCUACCCCAGAGAAUGGAGAACAAAUUCACGCUUACAUCAACCAGGAGCUUGAGAUCAUAAUCAGUGCAACAGCCUCUGCCACUGUGGUUCAUGAUAUCAUCAUAAGUGGACCCCUGAACAUCACAGUCAACACGUACAACAAUGGUUCUGAACAGUUUGUUCUGAGAUGGACUCCAAGGGCCGAUAAUCUUGGGGAAUAUUUUCCUGUCUGUUUCAUUGCUGAAAGUCACACAGUAAAAUUUGGUGGCAGAAGAAAAGAUUGAUACUUACAUA
ensembl:lncRNA